UGGGGAAUUUUCCACAAUGGGCGCAAGCCUGAUGGAGCAACACCGCGUGAGUGAAGAAGGGUUUCGGCUCGUAAAGCUCUUUUGUUAAAGAAGAACACGUAUGAGAGUAACUGUUCAUACGUUGACGGUAUUUAACCAGAAAGUCACGGCUAACUACGCGCCAG
rnacentral:rRNA from 1 species